rnacentral:rRNA from 1 species
AGAACGAACGCUGGCGGCAUGCCUAACACAUGCAAGUCGAACGAGACCUUCGGGUCUAGUGGCGCACGGGUGCGUAACGCGUGGGAACCUGCCUUUAGGUUCGGAAUAACUCCUCGAAAGGGGUGCUAAUACCGAAUAAUGUCUUCGGACCAAAGAUUUAUCGCCUUUAGAUGGGCCCGCGUUGGAUUAGCUAGUUGGUGGGGUAAAGGCCUACCAAGGCGACGAUCCAUAGCUGGUCUUAGAGGAUGAUCAGCCACACUGGGACUGAGACACGGCCCAGACUCCUACGGGAGGCAGCAGUGGGGAAUAUUGGACAAUGGGCGAAAGCCUGAUCCAGCAACGCCGCGUGAGGGAUGACGGCCUUCGGUUGUAAACCGUCUUUCAGCGCAGACGAAGCGAAAGUGACGGUAUGCGCAGAGAAGCACCGGCCAACUACGUGCCAGCAGCCGC